rfam:Oryza glumipatula chromosome 1, whole genome shotgun sequence.
UGUCAUGGUUUUCCGUUCCCAACUUUGACCGUUCGUCUUAUUUGAAAUUUUUUUGAAAAAAAAUAAAAAACAUAAGUCACGAGUAAAGUACUAUUUAUGUUUUAUCAUCUCGUAACAACAAAAUACUAAUUAUAAAAAAAAUUUCAAAUAAGAUGAAUGAUCAAAGUUAGACGCGGAAACUUAUAUUUGCACUUAAA